UGGGCUUUGAAUUCCUAUGGAGUUGUUGCUGGCCUCUAGGGGCAUGUGCACGCUUCACUAGUCUUUCAACCACCUGUGAACUUUUGAUAGAUCUGUGAAGUCGUCUCUCAAGUCGUUAGACUUGGUUUGCUGGGAUGUAAACGUCUCGGUGUGACUACGCAGUCUAUUUACUUAUAACACCCCAAAUGUAUGUCUACGAAUGUCAUUUAAAGGGCCUUGUGCCUAUAAACCAUAAUACAACUUUCAACAACGGAUCUCUUGGCUCUCGCAUCGAUGAAGAACGCAGCGAAAUGCGAUAAGUAAUGUGAAUUGCAGAAUUCAGUGAAUCAUCGAAUCUUUGAACGCACCUUGCGCCCCUUGGUAUUCCGAGGGGCAUGCCUGUUUGAGUGUCAUUAAAUUCUCAAACUCACUCUGGUUUUUCCAAUUGUGAUGUUUGGAUUGUUGGGGGCUGCUGGCCUUGACAGGUCGGCUCCUCUUAAAUGCAUUAGCAGGACUUCUCAUUGCCUCUGCGCAUGAUGUGAUAAUUAUCACUCAUCAAUAGCACGCAUGAAUAGAGUUUGGCUCUCUAACCGUCCGCAAGGACAAUUUGACAAUUUGACCUCAAAUCAGGUAGGACUACCCGCUGAACUUAAGCAUAUCAAACCGGGGAAAAAAAAAUC
rnacentral:rRNA from 1 species